rnacentral:rRNA from 1 species
ACAUCUCUCAAGGCCAACUGCCCCCGGACGACCGGGUCCGGUGACGGCAGCCUAGCACCGCUGGACACGACGACGCCCAACGCGUUCGACAACGCAUACUACCGCAACUUGAUGUCACAGAAGGGGCUCCUGCACUCCGACCUGGUUCUGAUCAACGACGGACGCACCGCGGGCCUGGUCCGGACGUACUCGUCGGGGUCGGCACGGUUCAACAGGGACUUCACGGCGGCCAUGGUGAGGAUGGGGAACAUCAGUCCGCUCACCGGGACGCAGGGGCAGGUCAGGCUCAGCUGCUCCCGGGUGAACUAA